UCUCGGCAACGGAUAUCUCGGCUCACGCAUCGAUGAAGAACGUAGCAAAAUGCGAUACUUGGUGUGAAUUGCAGAAUCCCGUGAACCAUCGAGUUUUUGAACGCAAGUUGCGCCCGAAGCCAUUCGGCUGAGGGCACGUCUGCCUGGGCGUCACGCAUCGC
rnacentral:rRNA from 1 species